GGGUAACCUGCCUGUAAGACUGGGAUAACUCCGGGAAACCGGGGCUAAUACCGGAUGCUUGAUUGAACCGCAUGGUUCAAUCAUAAAAGGUGGCUUUUAGCUACCACUUACAGAUGGACCCGCGGCGCAUUAGCUAGUUGGUGAGGUAACGGCUCACCAAGGCGACGAUGCGUAGCCGACCUGAGAGGGUGAUCGGCCACACUGGGACUGAGACACGGCCCAGACUCCUACGGGAGGCAGCAGUAGGGAAUCUUCCGCAAUGGACGAAAGUCUGACGGAGCAACGCCGCGUGAGUGAUGAAGGUUUUCGGAUCGUAAAACUCUGUUGUUAGGGAAGAACAAGUACCGUUCGAAUAGGGCGGUACCUUGACGGUACCUAACCAGAAAGCCACGGCUAACUACGUGCCAGCAGCCGCGGUAAUACGUAGGUGGCAAGCGUUGUCCGGAAUUAUUGGGCGUAAAGCGCGCGCAGGCGGUUUCUUAAGUCUGAUGUGAAAGCCCCCGGCUCAACCGGGGAGGGUCAUUGAAAACUGGGGAACUUGAGUGCAGAAGAGGAGAGUGGAAUUCCACGUGUAGCGGUGAAAUGCGUAGAGAUGUGCAGGAACACCAGUGCCGAAGGCGACUCUCUGGUCUGUAACUGC
rnacentral:rRNA from 2 species